AUGUCGGAUGGCUGGUCAGAUAAAAGGGGUCGCCCCUUGAUCAACUUCCUUGUUAACAGUCCGGAGGGCACUUUCUUCUUGGAGUCGGUUGAUGCCUCAAGUGAACCACAUGAUGCUCAAAUGAUAGUUGAUCUGCUAGAGAAGAGAAUUAUGGAAAUUGAGAAAGAAAAUCUUGUGCAAGUUGUCACCGAAAAUGGUGUGAACUACAAGGCAGCAGGCCACCUUCUAGAGUUGAGGUUCCCUACACUAUAUUGGAGUCCUUGUGCAUGUCAUUUCUUGGAUCUAAUGCUGGAAGACAUAGGGAAGUUGAAGGCAUUCAAGAAGCCUAUUGCACGGGCUAGACGUGUCACAACUUUCAUCUAUAGGCAUGGAAGAAUUCUUAGUCUAAUGAGGAAGGCGACGAAUGGGCUAGAUCUUCUGAGACCCGCAGCCACUCGUUUCGCCAUGGCCUUCCUUACACUGAAGAGUUUGGUGAGGCACAAGGCAGCUUUGAGAAGUAUGUUUACAUGUGCAGCAUGGGCUGGAAGCAAAGUGGCAAAAACACAAGCUGGCUUGAAUGUGCAAGACAUUGUGCUCUCAGCUGAGUGGUGGCAUUCAAUUGAGGACUACCUUAGAGCUUCAACACUGCUUCUUCGAGUGCUUAGGGUAGCGGAUGGUGAUGAGAAGCCUGCCAUGCCAGAGAUUUCAACACUUAUGCUUUAUGCAAAGGAAAGGAUCAAUCAAAGCUUCCCCCAACAAAAUAAGCAACCUUUGCUUAAGAACAUCUUGGGCAUUGUUGAGAACCGUUGGGAGACUCAAAUGGAUCAUCCAUUGUAUGGGGCUGCCCUAUAUUUGAACCCAGGAAAGUUUUUCCCUAUUGUAAAGAGGAAUUAUGAUGCCUUGUAUGGGGAGCUAAGGAGCUGCUUUAAUGAUGUGCUUGCAAAAAUGGUACGUGGGAUUUGA
rnacentral:rRNA from 1 species